AGUGAACGCUGGCGGUAGGCCUAACACAUGCAAGUCGAACGGCAGCACAGUAAGAGCUUGCUCUUACGGGUGGCGAGUGGCGGACGGGUGCGGAAUACAUCGGAAUCUACUUUUUCGUGGGGGAUAACGUAGGGAAACUUACGCUAAUACCGCAUACGACCUACGGGUGAAAGCAGGGGAUCUUCGGACCUUGCGCGAUUGAAUGAGCCGAUGUCGGAUUAGCUAGUUGGCGGGGCAAAGGCCCACCAAGGCGACGAUCCGUAGCUGGUCUGAGAGGAUGAUCAGCCACACUGGAACUGAGACACGGUCCAGACUCCUACGGGAGGCAGCAGUGGGGAAUAUUGGACAAUGGGCGCAAGCCUGAUCCAGCCAUACCGCGUGGGUGAAGAAGGCCUUCGGGUUGUAAAGCCCUUUUGUUGGGAAAGAAAAGCAGCAGGUUAAUACCCCGCUGUUCUGACGGUACCCAAAGAAUAAGCACCGGCUAACUUCGUG
rnacentral:rRNA from 1 species